UACGGGGGGGGCAAGCGUUGUUCGGAAUUACUGGGCGUAAAGGCUCGUAGGCGGCCAACUAAGUCAGACGUGAAAUCCCUCGGCUUAACCGGGGAACUGCGUCUGAUACUGGAUGGCUUGAGUUCGGGAGAGGGAUGUGGAAUUCCGAGGUGUAGCGGUGAAAUGCGUAGAUAUCUGGAGGAACACCGGUGGCGAAGGCGGCAUCCUGGACCGACACUGACGCUGAUGAGCGAAAGCCAGGG
rnacentral:rRNA from 1 species